CCUCUCUAGCCUGGGCUUGUGUGCACAGGACCCUGGAGGGAAAUCCUCCUUGGGGGCUGGGUUCUGUGUCCUCCCUCCAGCCCUCCCCUCUUUGCUUCUUCACUUGUGGUCCUGAUACUUUUCAAGGGAAAGGUUAUAUUAGGCGCAAGCUAAGGUGCUCAAAAAUAUGGUGCUGAUAAUUGUGCAAUGGGAAGCUAAGGACAUUCUCUACCAGAUGCUGCUCCAAGAGAGAUGGCAGUGCAAAUGUAUGUUGUGAACUUGUUCCAAGUCGUACAGAUGUGAACAUUUCUCCAUGAAACCAGAGCUGGAUGCUGAAAUGUCCUGGGCAGACUGUGCAGUAACAUAACCUGUAACAUACAUACUAGGGACAGAUGCACUGGUACUGGGAAGACCUGGAUAUUUCAUGUCCUUGCUCCAUUUGGACUUCUUCAGUUUGCUUUUCAUCUGUACAUCAAACCUGGUGUAUUCUAAUGGUGUCCUGCCUGGACCUCAUUUUGAGCUGAUGUUCAGACACAUGAACAUCAUGAGGCCGGCUAAGAAGUAUUUGCUCCACAGGAGCUGGGUGAGCCACAACAGGCUGGACUUGAACGAGAGAAGAGAAGAUGAAAAUUACAGCAGUGUGAUUUUGAACAUCUUAGUGAGUCACAGUCUAUUUGGGAGCAAUAAAACAUCUUCAGGACAUGAGUGAGGAAGAAG
rnacentral:lncRNA from 7 species